rnacentral:rRNA from 1 species
UACGGAGGGUGCAAGCGUUAUCCGGAUUUAUUGGGUUUAAAGGGUACGUAGGCGGCUUAGUAAGUCAGUGGUGAAAGUCAGCGGCUUAACUGUUGAACUGCCAUUGAUACUGCUUUGCUUGAGUGCAGUUGAGGUGGGUGGAAUUCCAUGUGUAACGGUGAAAUGCUUAGAUAUAUGGAGGAACACCGAUAACGAAGGUAACUCACUAAACUGUAACUGACGCUGAGGUACGAAAGCGUGGGGAGCAAACAGG